CGGAGGGAUCAUUACCGAGUUUACAACUCCCAAACCCCUGUGAACAUACCACUUGUUGCCUCGGCGGAUCAGCCCGCUCCCGGUAAAACGGGACGGCCCGCCAGAGGACCCCUAAACUCUGUUUCUAUAUGUAACUUCUGAGUAAAACCAUAAAUAAAUCAAAACUUUCAACAACGGAUCUCUUGGUUCUGGCAUCGAUGAAGAACGCAGCAAAAUGCGAUAAGUAAUGUGAAUUGCAGAAUUCAGUGAAUCAUCGAAUCUUUGAACGCACAUUGCGCCCGCCAGUAUUCUGGCGGGCAUGCCUGUUCGAGCGUCAUUUCAACCCUCAAGCACAGCUUGGUGUUGGGACUCGCGUUAAUUCGCGUUCCUCAAAUUGAUUGGCGGUCACGUCGAGCUUCCAUAGCGUAGUAGUAAAACCCUCGUUACUGGUAAUCGUCGCGGCCACGCCGUUAAACCCCAACUUCUGAAUGUUGACCUCGGAUCAGGUAGGAAUACCCGCUGAACUUAAGCAUAUCAAUAAGCGGAGGAAAAGAAACCAACAGGGAUUGCCCUAGUAACGGCGAGUGAAGCGGCAACAGCUCAAAUUUGAAAUCUGGCUCUCGGGCCCGAGUUGUAAUUUGUAGAGGAUACUUUUGAUGCGGUGCCUUCCGAGUUCCCUGGAACGGGACGCCAUAGAGGGUGAGAGCCCCGUCUGGUUGGAUGCCAAUCUCUGUAAAGUUCCUU
rnacentral:rRNA from 1 species